CCUACGGGAGGCAGCAGUGAGGAAUAUUGGUCAAUGGUCGGGAGACUGAACCAGCCAAGCCGCGUGAGGGAGGAAGGUACAGAGUAUCGUAAACCUCUUUUGUCAGGGAACAAAGGCGGGGACGUGUCCCCGGAUGAGUGUACCUGAAGAAAAAGCAUCGGCUAACUCCGUGCCAGCAGCCGCGGUAAUACGGAGGAUGCGAGCGUUAUCCGGAUUUAUUGGGUUUAAAGGGUGCGCAGGGGGUCUGUUAAGUCAGCGGUCAAAGUCCGGGGCUCAACCCCCGGCCCGCCGUUGAAACUGGCAGUCUCGAGUUGGAGUGAAGUAUGCGGAAUGCGCGGUGUAGCGGUGAAAUGCAUAGAUAUCGCGCAGAACUCCGAUUGCGGAGGCAGCAUGCCGGCUCCACACUGACGCUGAGGCACGAAAGCGUGGGUAUCGAACAGGAUUAGAUACCCCGGUAGUC
rnacentral:rRNA from 1 species